GCAGCAACGCCGCGUGGGGGAUGAAGGCCUUCGGGUUGUAAACCUCUUUCAGCAGGGAAGAAGCGAAAGUGACGGUACCUGCAGAAGAAGCACCAGCUAACUACGUGCCAGCAGCCGCGGUAAUACGUAGGGUGCAAGCGUUGUCCGGAAUUAUUGGGCGUAAAGAGCUCGUAGGUGGUUUGUCGCGUCUGCUGUGAAAAUUCGGGGCUCAACCCCGGACUUGCAGUGGGUACGGGCAGACUAGAGUGUGGUAGAGGAGACUGGAAUUCCUGGUGUAGCGGUGGA
rnacentral:rRNA from 1 species